AUAGCAGAGAAGACAAGUAGUGACUGUGUCAUCUGACUACGCUGAUGGACAGCGAGUGCAAUGGGGUGUAUGGGGGGGACUUGAUAAUAUGGGUGAGUGUAGUAACCAUGUUGCUCAUGUGAAACCUUCGUAAGAUUGUGUGUCAAUGAUACCUUAAUAAAAUAAACAAAAAACAUUAAGGCACUUAGAAAAGGUCACCAUGCUCCACCAUGUGACACCCAGCAAGCGAGAGUGGCAAGGAAAUGCUGGGGUGUGCCGGGGGUGAGGGAAGUUGUAGGGAGCCGUGCCCAACCAGCCAGAGCAGUGUCAUCUCUGACCAGCUGCAACCGCACUCAAGGCCGUUCCUCCGUUCCCAGGAAAGUCCUGUGUUGUGAGAGCGUGCCUGGAAUCCACCUGACAGAGCUUCCUUAGGCUUGGAUGUAGAAUCUCGCCCCCGGAGAGACCGGAGGGGAUAAGGACGGUAUGAGAAGAGGCGGCGGAGAAGAGCAGAAGUAGAAGCAGAGAAAAGUUAGAGAUGAGAGCUAGCUCGCUUGCUUAUGCUGUAAUGCUGAAUAAAGAAAGAGCUUGAGUGAACCAUCAGUCCCAGCCUGCCUUGUGUCCUAACCCGCGCGCUGCUGGACGGCGCAAGUGGUGGCCCAUACGGGGAGGACGCUCCUUCAUUGAGGACAAAAACGGCGGAUCAGCUGAGGACCCCCGGGAGAAAAAGCUUCGGCCGAAGUGAAAGAGGAUCAAUACUUGAUCUAGCCACCCAGAAAAUGAAUUCAGAUACAAUAUGAAGGAGAACUUCCAACAUCAACAUCCCCUAGAAGAAUCAUUCCAGAAGAUCCUGCCGCUAUUGCAGUUGCAGCUGCGUUCCUCCUGCCGGUUCCUGGACUUGUAGUUAGAAUGCCAAAAGAGAUAUCUAAGCUAGCCUGCGCGUAUAGCAAAACAAUAAAUUUGACUGCUUCUGUAUUAUCUGAACUCAACCAAGAACUGAGAGAAGUACGAGCUGCGGUGCUUCAGAAUCGCGCUGCUGUGGACUGUCUGCUGUUAAAAGAACAUGUAAGAUGUGAACAGUUUCCAGGAAUGUGCUGUUUCAAUUUGUC